CUGACUGACAAAGCAGGAAAAUAUGAGUGUUAGUCCUAAGGAGUACAAAAGUGGCCCAUCGAUAAUAAAGAAGUACAAAUUCAGCAGAACAAACCAGCAAUUAAUAUCGCUCACAAAUAUUCAUUGUCUUGGGAAAGACUGUGUGUUUCAGAUGUGGAUUUGGUGGCCUCAACAGGAACAUCAAGCUGCUGAAGUGUGGAAACCAGAGUGGGUUACAGGUAGUGAUGGUCAGUACAGAAAGUGCCAUGGUGGGGAAUUUAUCCUGCAUUCCUGUUGAGAGCCAGUGGCCCUAUGGACUCCACCAAAUGGAAUAAUCAUAUGAAGAUUUAAUCAGUCG